rnacentral:rRNA from 1 species
GGUGGGGAGUGACGUCAAGUCCUCAUGGCCUUAUGACCAGGGCUACACACGUACUACAAUGGCCGGUCAAAGGGCAGCGACACAGCGAUGUGAAGCCAAUCCCGAAAAGCCGGUCUCAGUCCGGAUUGGAGUCUGCAACUCGACUCCAUGAAGUUGGAGUCGCUAGUAAUCGCGGAUCAGCACGCCGCGGUGAAUACGUUCCCGGGCCUU